rnacentral:lncRNA from 1 species
UUCACAUCACGAACCAAGUAGAUGGAGUGCUUGCUUCUUAAUCGAUUUGAGUUGUACGUAACAGGACGAGGAUCUAGAACCAUCCGGGAGCGUUGCAGAACCCCGCAGUGUGUACAGCAACAGAAGUUUCUCUUGCUGAGUGAUCAGGCAGUAGUAGCAAGAGAACUCUUACUGACAUCUCCUGAUGGGUUUCUCUGGGUCCUGCAUCUCUGCUCUGCUCUUAGGACUUCUGGGGACGAUUCCAGCACACUCUCUGCAAAAGCCCUUGGUUGUGGAUUGCAAGGUAAGAGCUG